CCUGCCCACUGAGAGUAUUAAAGGGCCGCGGUAAUUUGACCGUGCGAAGGUAGCAUAAUCAUUAGCCACUUAAUUAGUGGAUGGGAUGAAGGGUUGGAUGAAGGAUGAACUGUCUUUUUAAUAAGCGAUUAAAUUUUACUUUUAAGUGAAAAGGCUUUAAUAAUAUAAAGUGAAGAUAAGACCCUAUAAAACUUUAUAUAAAUAUUGUCUUGUUCGUUGUAUUUGGUAAAAGACAAUAAGGCUAGAUUAUAUUUUGUUGGGGCGACAGGAAUAGAAUUUAAGUAUCUGUUUUCAUAAUGAGUUAGUAAUGGUUAAUUUAAUGAUCCUCUAGUAGAGAUUAAAAGACUAAGUUACUUUAGGGAUAACAGCGUAAUUUUCUUUGAGAGUUCUUAUCGACAAGAGUAGUUGCGACCUCGAUGUUGAAUUAAAAUUAUUCUGAUAAAUGCAGUAGUUUAUAUAGUAAGUCUGUUCGACUUUUAAAAUUUUACAUGAUUUGAGUUCAAACCGGUGUGAGCCA
rnacentral:rRNA from 1 species